GGUGGGAGGAAUGAAGGACUUCAAAGAUACCUGACAUCUUGAAGCUUAGUGCCUAGAGCAGUAAGUUGACCAGAAGACACCGAAUAUAUGGAAAUCUUACCUCUGUGUGACUCAUUUUCACUGUUGAAUAAUAAACACAAGGUGCAUUACAUCUGAGAAGCAAAGGGCAUCUCCCUGAAAAGAAGAUUCUGUUGUAAAAGAAGUCCUUGUCAUGUGAUCCUAUUGACUCUGGGUUUGACUACUGGAACAUUUCAAAGUGUUACUUCUGAGGAAAGGGAGGGCCGAAGCCUCUGGCUCGGCCUCAAUGUCUUCCCCAGCAGAUGGAGAACACUGCACCAACUCCGAAGAAGCAAGGUGUUUUGUGAUGACACAAAACAAACAUAGCUGAGUCGGUACUGAGUUCAAACGUCGUGGACAACCAAGCGUAGAGUUCAGCAGGAAGGGGACACUUUACUCAAAAGCUGCAGCACUAUUUAGGCUGUCACCACGCGAACAAAACCCAAUUCUAGUAAUGCCGGGAUCCACCAACCAAACGACCAAAAAAUCCAAACCCGAGGUUAGAGGUCGACGGGAACCGUCGUUUAUUCACUCAACGAACGCGCGUGUCCUGGGCCGGGCAGCCGCCUGGGUGGUGAACCUCUCGUCUGGAAGGAGGCUUCGCUCUCCUCAGCCCGGACAGUUCAACGAGAGUCGCCGCGGCCCGGCUCCACCUGCCCACAGAACCAAACCAGUGUC
rnacentral:lncRNA from 1 species